CCCUUGGUGGCUCAGAUGGUCAGAGCGUCUGCCAUGUAAGCAGGAGAUCCUGGGUUCGAGUCCCGGUUGGGGGA
rnacentral:tRNA from 1 species